rnacentral:rRNA from 1 species
GAUGAACGCUGGCGGCGUGCCUAAUACAUGCAAGUCGAGCGAGCGGACGAGAAGCUUGCUUUUCUGAUGUUAGCGGCGGACGGGUGAGUAACACGUGGAUAACCUACCUAUAAGACUGGGAUAACUUCGGGAAACCGGAGCUAAUACCGGAUAAUAUUUUGAACCGCAUGGUUCAAAAGUGAAAGACGGUCUUGCUGUCACUUAUAGAUGGAUCCGCGCUGCAUUAGCUAGUUGGUAAGGUAACGGCUUACCAAGGCAACGAUGCAUAGCCGACCUGAGAGGGUGAUCGGCCACACUGGAACUGAGACACGGUCCAGACGCCUACGGGAGGCAGCAGUAGGGAAUCUUCCGCAAUGGGCGAAAGCCUGACGGAGCAACGCCGCGUGAGUGAUGAAGGUCUUCGGAUCGUAAAACUCUGUUAUUAGGGAAGAACAUAUGUGUAAGUAACUGUGCACAUAUUGACGGUACCUAAUCAGAAAGCCACGGCUAACUACGUG